GUGUGAAAUGAUGGUAACCAUCUUUCGGGACUGACUGACUUGAUGAUAACUUUUAAAAAGCUGAUCACAC
ensembl:snoRNA Small nucleolar RNA SNORD2